rnacentral:rRNA from 1 species
GCGGCGUGCCUAAUACAUGCAAGUCGAGCGAACGGACGAGAAGCUUGCUUUUCUGAUGUUAGCGGCGGACGGGUGAGUAACACGUGGAUAACCUACCUAUAAGACUGGGAUAACUUCGGGAAACCGGAGCUAAUACCGGAUAAUAUUUUGAACCGCAUGGUUCAAAAGUGAAAGACGGUCUUGCUGUCACUUAUAGAUGGAUCCGCGCUGCAUUAGCUAGUUGGUAAGGUAACGGCUUACCAAGGCAACGAUGCAUAGCCGACCUGAGAGGGUGAUCGGCCACACUGGAACUGAGACACGGUCCAGACUCCUACGGGAGGCAGCAGUAGGGAAUCUUCCGCAAUGGGCGAAAGCCUGACGGAGCAACGCCGCGUGAGUGAUGAAGGUCUUCGGAUCGUAAAACUCUGUUAUUAGGGAAGAACAUAUGUGUAAGUAACUGUGCACAUCUUGACGGUACCUAAUCAGAAAGCCACGGCUAACUACGUGCCAGCAGCCGCGGUAAUACGUAGGUGGCAAGCGUUAUCCGGAAUUAUUGGGCGUAAAGCGCGCGUAGGCGGUUUUUUAAGUCUGAUGUGAAAGCCCACGGCUCAACCGUGGAGGGUCAUUGGAAACUGGAAAACUUGAGUGCAGAAGAGGAAAGUGGAAUUCCAUGUGUAGCGGUGAAAUGCGCAGAGAUAUGGAGGAACACCAGUGGCGAAGGCGACUUUCUGGUCUGUAACUGACGCUGAUGUGCGAAAGCGUGGGGAUCAAACAGGAUUAGAUACCCUGGUAGUCCACGCCGUAAACGAUGAGUGCUAAGUGUUAGGGGGUUUCCGCCCCUUAGUGCUGCAGCUAACGCAUUAAGCACUCCGCCUGGGGAGUACGACCGCAAGGUUGAAACUCAAAGGAAUUGACGGGGACCCGCACAAGCGGUGGAGCAUGUGGUUUAAUUCGAAGCAACGCGAAGAACCUUACCAAAUCUUGACAUCCUU